UGUGGGAUCCACCGGGGGGCAGAGCCUGGCAGGUGUGGGAUCCACCGGGGGGCAGAGCCUGGCAGGUGUGGGAUCCACCGGGGGGCAGAGCCUGGCAGGUGUGGGCUUCAGGACAGACGUGAGGACCGCCUAACAAUGACCCCUGUCGGUGAUUAUGUGAUCCACAGCCUCCAGGACGUACCCCACAGGUCUUGGCUAGGCGCUCGCCACAUUGACUAUUG